AGCAGCCGCGGUAAUUCCAGCUCCAAUAGCGUAUAUUAAAGUUGUUGCAGUUAAAAAGCUCGUAGUUGAAUUUCGGGGUUAGUAGGCUGGUCGUGCCACUGGUACGUACUGGUCUCACUGAUUCCUCCUUCCUGAUGAACCGUAAUGCCAUUAAUUUGGUGUUGCGGGGAAACUGGACUGUUACUUUGAAAAAAUUAGAGUGUUUAAAGCAAGCUAACGCUUGAAUACAUUAGCAUGGAAUAAUGAAAUAGGACGUUCGAUCCUAUUUUGUUGGUUUCUAGGAUUGACGUAAUGAUUAAUAGGGAUAGUUGGGGGCAUUAGUAUUCAAUUGUCAGAGGUGAAAUUCUUGGAUUUAUUGAAGACUAACUACUGCGAAAGCAUUUGCCAAGGAUGUUUUCAUUAAUCAAGAACGAAAGUUAGGGGAUCGAAGACGAUCAGAUACCGUCGUAGUCUUAACCAUAAACUAUGCCGACUAGGGAUCGGAUGAUGUUAAUUUUUUAAUGACUCAUUCGGCGCCUUACG
rnacentral:rRNA from 1 species